UCAGUGGGCGCCGGCGCCCGGGCUGGGCUGCGGGGCGGGGGCAGCGGCAGCACCACCACGUGGCUGCCCGGCGCCGGCCCCGCCGGCCGGAUCCCGGGAGCGGGAAGGGAGGUGCUAACCAUUCCCCUCCCCUUCCACCCGCGCGGCCCGAAAUUCCGCGAGUCAGGUGACCCGGCCCGCGCUCCGGCCCGACCUGCAGAAGGUGCUCCCCGCGGGGCGGCGCCCCAUCCCCUGGGCGCGCGCUCCGGGCGGCCGUGGCCUGGGUCGUGGAUCGUGGGAUCCUCCCCCCCGGACGCGUCUCAGCAUCUUCGCCUAAAGUCUUUUAGGAAUGCUAAUUGGAUUUAGCAUUCAUUGAGCACCACCCCUGGAUGGAGAUCAGGCCCAGGUAAAAGUGUUUGAGAGAAGAAAACACAGAUAAAAUAACCACCCCACCUGCAGAAAGUUGGUAAAAACUUUCUGUCAAUAGAAAAAUUACCCUUAAAUCCAGGUCACUGUGGUGUGAUAUGUCUUACUAGGAGCAAUAAGAACAAGUUUUACUAACCUGCCACUUGAACUUCGCCAAGUGUUUGAAUGUUUCCUGGUCCCACUUUCCUCGUCAGUAAACGAGAACAUCAAAUGGCAUGGCCUCGGAACUGUUCCCGCUCCAGCUUUCUAAGCCCAUGCUGAUGGCCUCAAGAGCCCUCACAAGCAAUGUUGUCUUACAUUCCACAACACAGCCUUGCUCUCCAGUUGUCCUGGCAGGCCAGUCUUGCCAUACCAGUAACAUCCUAAACUCCUAAGAGGGUUGCCAUUCAGGACUUAGAGGAUCUGUAAAUGGAAUUCAUUCAUUGGUGGGGCCAAGUUUUCAUUUUCAGAGUUAAAUAUUACAUCCCUUCUUUCUCGCUCCAUUUCUCAUCAGUCUUCCAGAGGAUGAACUUCUUAAGUCGGGGUUACCAAAGCUAAGACUCUGUUGGGCUCACAGGAAACUGUCCCGGAAGGAGGAAAUAGAGAUAGUAUCACACGAAGGCCAAAAAGUAACGCUCCACGCGAUUGGGUGUUUGGUCAGGUUCUGACUGCACUUCUGGGUCCACUUGGAGGCAGUGUGACUGAGAGGAACCUGGCAACACUGGGCCAGGCCCGAGAACGGAACAAAAACGCCAUCGGGAGGUUGGAGGGAGAUAACCCACAGAGAAAAAUAAAGCCCAACUACUGAUAGAAAAUCCGCUUUUCUGUAUUUUCUUGGGAAUGUUUCAAAUAGGCGGAAACUGUGACCUGGGAGAAAUUAACAAGGCGCUGAAACUGAGUUUUGAAUAGACCGCCCAAAUCAUAGGACCAGAAAGAGGCCAUGAAUCAAAGCUUGGGAUGCCCAGCUCCAGAGUGGUCUUCUUACCCAGCACCCUGUGCUGCCUUCAGGCCACCUCUGUUUCUAAACACUCUCAUGUUGACCGCAGUGCUCCCGCCACCUCUGGCGCAGGACUGGGUCAGAGAGGAGUAGAGCCCAGGUGUCGUUACCGUGGGACAGGCAACGGACACGGACAGCUCCAUCGUGGUGGCCACUCCAUCUGCUAAAGGAACGUUCUCAGAUCAAUCCGAAUGGCCACUGUGCUGGCAGAACAAGAAGAUGAAGAGUGUGAGCACGUUGCUGACUGCCAGGUGACAAGCCAGAAGAGACAGAAUUGGAGGAGCCAGAAAGAUCCCUGCGGGAACAGUCCGUCCACAGAGCUGCAUGGACCAGGAGGCCACAGAGGCUGCAGAAGCAGGAAGAGAGGCCGAGGUGACUUCCUCUCGUGAUUCCUAGAACCCUUAGAACACAGAUGCCGAGAAGAUGAACUGGCUUCACAGUAAUAGACGGAUAAAAGGGAGGGCGCAGGGUUCCGGUGUGAAGUAUAUGGAGGUCACUCUUGGCCAACCAGAGGGGAACUUGUCCUGUCGAAUUAUGUAACAGGGGAGUGAGUUUGAGAAGACUCAUUUGGCACUGAGUUGGUCUGGGAGUGUUGGAGGUCUGAGUGGGUCUCAUACUUGCUUUGUGGACUUCUGGGAAGUCUUUGAAAACAUUUCAGUUUAAAGUGUGUGCCUUAAGAGGACUCUCCAUUCACGUCCAACAUCGCACGCUCAUAUUAAGAAAUAUAAACGAUGAGAACAUCCGGUGUGUUCUUUCUCAUGCUGAUCCUCGCUCCCUGGCCACACGGCCUUCUGCUCCAGGUCUGGGCGUUCUUACUCGUGUGCUCCGUUCAGAGCGGUGGGAAGUGAUCCGAGGUUAGAUGGGCAUUUUGGAGAAAGUUUAGAAUAGCAGGUGUGAGGCCAGUUCUAUGAGGAUCAGAAAGGCUGGUAUCUGGGCAGGAGUCCUCCCGGCAUGGCCUAAAGGGGGCGCUUCUCCAGCCCAAAGCGGGUGUCGGCUACUGGGCAGCCAUCACGAUGGACUCUCUCCUAUUUUCGCUUCCUUAUUGAACAUGGAGUAAACACGAGAGAUGAAAGAAAGAAGGGAGGAAUGAAAGAAAGAUAGAAGAAAAGACAUUGUCAGGUGGUGUGUUUGACUUCUCCACUUCCUGCAAUUCCGGGUAAUCUCUCUUGGCCCCCGUUUCUUCAUCUGCAAAAUAGGACAAAUAUUAGUACCUGACUCUUGGGUUAUUCUGGAGAUUAAUUAAAUCAUGUGAAGCAUGUACAAUAAUAGUGCCUGGCACAAGUAAGAGGUAAAUACAUAAUAUUGGUGAUUAUUACUAAUAUGGAGAAGCAUAAGAGAUUCAUAGAAUCUGGUGAGAAAUAGUGCUAUCUAGUGAAAUCAAUUCAACUGUUAUUAAAAAUGUCAUAAGUGCCCUGGCUUAGUUGGUUGGGCAACACCAGUGCACCUAAAGGUUGCCCGUUUGAUUCCCAGCCAGUUCGAUGGCCAGGUUGCAGGCUCAAUCCCCAGUAAGGAGUGGGCAAGAGGCAACC